CUACAUAUAGUGCAUAAUGGGAUGCGGAGCAAGUCCCGCCAAACAGGGAAGCCGGCGUAAAUCCGGCGCGGUCCCGCCACUGUGACAGCUGUUAUGAGGAAGGAGCAUUCGCGCUCCUUGUCAUGGCCAAUCGAUUCAGCUGAAGCCAGAUACCUGCCAUUAUGACGACUACUUG
rnacentral:ncRNA from 2 species